rnacentral:lncRNA from 1 species
UUCUUAUAAGAUAAACACCAAAAACAGACAUUUUGACUGCUGACAGAUCUUCAGAGGGAAGACAAUGAAAGUGUAUGGAGGGAAGAUACAGAAGCUGGACUGAAUGUGAAGGAAGCUGAGAACCCUGCAUGAGGCUCCCACAGACAGGGACUUGUUUCUGGCCCCCAACAACUCCAGGGAAAAAGAUAAGUUGAACUGGAAAGGAGCAACUGCUUUCCUCAUGGGCCUGUGGAAUCCCAGCAGAAAGACAUCCCUCAACCACUAUGGACACUUGAAUUGGCAGUAAGAGCUGCUUAAAGAAGUGGAGCAUGGAUGGAGAUGGAGGCCAUUAUCCUUAGCAAACUAAUGCAGGAACAGAAAAUGAAAUACUGCAUGUUGUCACUUAUAAAUGGGAGCUAAAUAAUGGAAACACAUGGACACAUAGAGUGGACCAACAAACACUGGAGCCUACCAGAAGGUGGAGGAUUAGAAGAGAGAGAGGAUCAAGAAAAAUAACUAAGGAAUACUAUGCUGGUUACCUGGGUUUUGUGGUACAUGUGCAGAUCAUGCAGGACUGUUGCAUAGGUACACACAUGGAAAUGUGGUUUGCUGCCUCCAUCCCCCUGUCAUCUACAUCUGGCAUUUUUCCCCAUGUUGUCCCUUCCUGACCUCCCCACCCUGCCACACUGUCCCUCUCUUGCCCCCCCAACAGACCCCAGUGCUUGAUGCUCCCCUCCCUUUGUCCCUAUGUUCUCAUUAACCUGCUAAACGUCUCUUGAAAUACCAGAAAAUUAGAGUAUCUUCAGUGCUAUCUAAAUUGAAUAUUAUUAAAAAAAAUAAUUGCUUAAUUGUGCUUUAUUGGUGAACAAAAGAUAAUGUGCCUAAAAAUAAUUUAAAUGUAAACAUUACUGAGAGGGUUUUUAGACAUGUCUGAAAGCUGUCUAAAGGUCUGACAGCUUUCAGACUUUUGAAAUCAUCUGCAUCCAGGUCCUUUGGAAGGAUAGAUGUUGAGUAGAACAUUUUUUAUUUGCUGUCUGAAACUUACAUUAUAUAAUUUUUCUAGUGUCUACAUAAAUAAUAGGAAGAUAAGUGAAACAAAAUGAUACAGUGUGGUAUUAUUCUACUUUAUAUGUGUGCAUAUACUAAAUCACUAAACAAAUAUGCUAUAUAUACUAAAUACUAAGUAUAUUCUUUGCAUAUCUAUUUUAUAUAUGUGAAAACCUGUGGCUUAUAUUUUUGUAUCCUUUCCUUUGAUCAGCAAAGGAGAGAUACAGGAGCACAAUUUACCCUAAAUUCUAUAAUUUAGGAGAAACUGAGAGACUAUGUUAACUUCUCUUCCUGGGUCCACAAGGGGUGUGGUUUCAAAGGCAAGAACUUCCCUGCACCAUAUCCCACCCUCCUCCCCAUCAGGGAACAUAAAGUUCUUUGUCUAACGUUCCCUGCUUGUGGCUAGGUAAAAUUCCAGGUGAGCUUCCUUUGUUCAGAAAGCUGCCAAAAGCCCUUAAAGGAGAGACUCUGUUGUGGGCCAAGCAAUCAGUUUGGAAUCAAAGUCAAAGAUCAAUCACUCCAGAGGAAGUUUGAAAGAACUCCUCUCAUUGGACAAAAA